rnacentral:rRNA from 1 species
ACGCGAGCUGGGUUCAGAACGUCGUGAGACAGUUCGGUCCCUAUCCGUCGCAGGCGUAGGAAAGUUGAGAAGACCUGUCCUUAGUACGAGAGGACCGGGAUGGACGUACCUCUGGUGUACCAGUUGUCCUGCCAAGGGCAUGGCUGGGUAGCUAUGUGCGGAAUGGAUAAGCGCUGAAAGCAUCUAAGCGCGAAGCCAACUUCAAGAUAAGAUUUCCCACCGCAAGGGUAAGACCCCAGAAAGACUAUCUGGUUGAUAGGUCGAAGGUGUAAGUGCAGCAAUGUAUUUAGCUUAUCGAUACUAAUAGGUCGAGGACUUGACCAAU